GGGGAUAUAGCUCAGUUGGGAGAGCGCUUGACUGGCAGUCAAGAGGUCAGGAGUUCGAGCCUCCUUAUCUCCACCA
rnacentral:tRNA from 1 species